UGCAAGUCGAACGGAAAGGCCCAUUCGGGGUACUCGAGUGGCGAACGGGUGAGUAACACGUGGGUGAUCUGCCCUGCACUUUGGGAUAAGCCUGGGAAACUGGGUCUAAUACCGAAUAUUCCCUACCGGUUGCAUGGUUGGUGGGGGAAAGCUUUUGCGGUGUGGGAUGGGCCCGCGGCCUAUCAGCUUGUUGGUGGGGUGAUGGCCUACCAAGGCGACGACGGGUAGCCGGCCUGAGAGGGUGUCCGGCCACACUGGGACUGAGAUACGGCCCAGACUCCUACGGGAGGCAGCAGUGGGGAAUAUUGCACAAUGGGCGCAAGCCUGAUGCAGCGACGCCGCGUGGGGGAUGACGGCCUUCGGGUUGUAAACCUCUUUCAGUACCGACGAAGCGCAAGUGACGGUAGGUACAGAAGAAGCACCGGCCAACUACGUGCCAGCAGCCGCGGUAAUACGUAGGGUGCGAGCGUUGUCCGGAAUUACUGGGCGUAAAGAGCUCGUAGGUGGUUUGUCGCGUUGUCCGUGAAAACUCACAGCUUAACUGUGGGCGUGCGGGCGAUACGGGCAGACUGGAGUACUGCAGGGGAGACUGGAAUUCCUGGUGUAGCGGUGGAAUGCGCAGAUAUCAGGAGGAACACCGGUGGCGAAGGCGGGUCUCUGGGCAGUAACUGACGCUGAGGAGCGAAAGCGUGGGGAGCGAACAGGAUUAGAUACCCUGGUAGUCCACGCCGUAAACGGUGGGUACUAGGUGUGGGUUUCCUUCCUUGGGAUCCGUGCCGUAGCUAACGCAUUAAGUACCCCGCCUGGGGAGUACGGCCGCAAGGCUAAAACUCAAAGGAAUUGACGGGGGCCCGCACAAGCGGCGGAGCAUGUGGAUUAAUUCGAUGC
rnacentral:rRNA from 1 species